GACGAACGCUGGCGGCGUGCUUAACACAUGCAAGUCGAACGGAAAGGCCCUGCUUUUGUGGGGUGCUCGAGUGGCGAACGGGUGAGUAACACGUGAGUAACCUGCCCUUGACUUUGGGAUAACUUCAGGAAACUGGGGCUAAUACCGGAUAGGAGCUCCUGCUGCAUGGUGGGGGUUGGAAAGUUUCGGCGGUUGGGGAUGGACUCGCGGCUUAUCAGCUUGUUGGUGGGGUAGUGGCUGACCAAGGCUUUGACGGGUAGCCGGCCUGAGAGGGUGACCGGCCACAUUGCGACUGAGAUACGGCCCAGACUCCUACGGGAGGCAGCAGUGGGGAAUAUUGCACAAUGGGCGGAAGCCUGAUGCAGCAACGCCGCGUGCGGGAUGACGGCCUUCGGGUUGUAAACCGCUUUCGCCUGUGACGAAGCGUGAGUGACGGUAAUGGGUAAAGAAGCACCGGCUAACUACGUG
rnacentral:rRNA from 1 species